GGAUUAGCUUGUUGGCGGGGUAACGGCCCACCAAGGCGACGAUCAGUAGGGGUUCUGAGAGGAAGGUCCCCCACAUUGGAACUGAGACACGGUCCAAACUCCUACGGGAGGCAGCAGUGAGGAAUAUUGGUCAAUGGGCGAGAGCCUGAACCAGCCAAGUAGCGUGCAGGAUGACGGCCCUAUGGGUUGUAAACUGCUUUUAUAGGGGAAUAAAGUGAGCCACGUGUGGUUUUUUGCAUGUACCCUAUGAAUAAGGACCGGCUAAUUCCGUGCCAGCAGCCGCGGUAAUACGGAAGGUCCGGGCGUUAUCCGGAUUUAUUGGGUUUAAAGGGAGCGUAGGCCGGAGAUUAAGCGUGUUGUGAAAUGUAGAUGCUCAACAUCUGCACUGCAGCGCGAACUGGUUUCCUUGAGUACGCAUAAAGUGGGCGGAAUUCGUGGUGUAGCGGUGAAAUGCUUAGAUAUCACGAAGAACUCCGAUUGCGAAGGCAGCUCACUGGGGCGCAACUGACGCUGAAGCUCGAAAGCGCGGGUAUCGAACAGGAUUAGAUACCCUGGUAAUCCGCGCGGUAAACGAUGGAUGCCCGCUGUUGGGCCAACUGGUUCAGCGGCCAAGCGAAAGCAUUAAGCAUCCCACCUGGGGAGUACGCCGGCAACGGUGAAACUCAAAGGAAUUGACGGGGGCCCGCACAAGCGGAGGAACAUGUGGUUUAAUUCGAUGAUACGCGAGGAACCUUACCCGGGCUUGAAUUGCAGAGGAAGGAUUUGGAGACAAUGACGCCCUUCGGGGCCUCUGUGAAGGUGCUGCAUGGUUGUCGUCAGCUCGUGCCGUGAGGUGUCGGCUUAAGUGCCAUAACGAGCGCAACCCCUCUCCAUAGUUGCCAUCAGGUUAAGCUGGGCACUCUGUGGACACUGCCACCGUAAGGUGUGAGGAAGGUGGGGAUGACGUCAAAUCAGCACGGCCCUUACGUCCGGGGCUACACACGUGUUACAAUGGCAGGUACAGAGAGCCGGUCGUAUGCAAAUACGAUCCAAUCCUUAAAGCCUGUCUCAGUUCGGACUGGGGUCUGCAACCCGACCCCACGAAGCUGGAUUCGCUAGUAAUCGCGCAUCAGCCAUGGCGCGGUGAAUACGUUCCCGGGCCUUGUACACACCGCCCGUCAAGCCAUGAAAGCCGGGGGCGCCUGAAGUCCGUGACCGCAAGGAUCGGCCUAGGGCGAAACUGGUAAUUGGGGCUAAGUCGGAACAAGGUA
rnacentral:rRNA from 1 species